CAUAGGUUAAUGAGGCGAACCGGGGGAACUGAAACAUCUAAGUACCCCGAGGAAAAGAAAUCAACCGAGAUUCCCCCAGUAGCGGCGAGCGAACGGGGAGGAGCCCAGAGCCUGAAUCAGUGUGUGUGUUAGUGGAAGCGUCUGGAAAGGCGCGCGAUACAGGGUGACAGCCCCGUACACAAAAAUGCACAUAUUGUGAGCUCGAUGAGUAGGGCGGGACACGUGGUAUCCUGUCUGAAUAUGGGGGGACCAUCCUCCAAGGCUAAAUACUCCUGACUGACCGAUAGUGAACCAGUACCGUGAGGGAAAGGCGAAAAGAACCCCGGCGAGGGGAGUGAAAAAGAACCUGAAACCGUGUACGUACAAGCAGUGGGAGCCUCUUAAUGGGGUGACUGCGUACCUUUUGUAUAAUGGGUCAGCGACUUAUAUUCUGUAGCAAGGUUAACCGAAUAGGGGAGCCGAAGGGAAACCGAGUCUUAACUGGGCGUUAAGUUGCAGGGUAUAGACCCGAAACCCGGUGAUCUAGCCAUGGGCAGGUUGAAGGUUGGGUAACACUAACUGGAGGACCGAACCGACUAAUGUUGAAAAAUUAGCGGAUGACUUGUGGCUGGGGGUGAAAGGCCAAUCAAACCGGGAGAUAGCUGGUUCUCCCCGAAAGCUAUUUAGGUAGCGCCUCGUGAAUUCAUCUCCGGGGGUAGAGCACUGUUUCGGCAAGGGGGUCAUCCCGACUUACCAACCCGAUGCAAACUGCGAAUACCGGAGAAUGUUAUCACGGGAGACACACGGCGGGUGCUAACGUCCGUCGUGAAGAGGGAAACAACCCAGACCGCCAGCUAAGGUCCCAAAGUCAUGGUUAAGUGGGAAACGAUGUGGGAAGGCCCAGACAGCCAGGAUGUUGGCUUAGAAGCAGCCAUCAUUUAAAGAAAGCGUA
rnacentral:rRNA from 1 species